rnacentral:rRNA from 1 species
UACGGAGGGUGCGAGCGUUAAUCGGAAUUACUGGGCGUAAAGCGCACGCAGGCGGUUUGUUAAGCAAGAUGUGAAAGCCCCGGGCUCAACCUGGGAACUGCAUUUACUAGCGAGACUAGAGUCUUGGAGAGGGGGGGUGGAAUUCCAGGUGUAGCGGUGAAAUGCGUAGAGAUCUGGAGGAACAUCAGUGGCGAAGGCGGCCCCUGGCCAAAGCACUGACGCUCAUGUGCGAAAGUGUGGGUAGCGAACAGGAUUAGAUACCCGGUAGUC